CAUACGACUCUCGGCAACGGAUAUCUCGGUUCUCGCAUCGAUGAAGAACGUAGCGAAAUGCGAUACCUGGUGUGAAUUGCAGAAUCCCGCGAACCAUCGAGUCUUUGAAUGCAAGUUGCGCCCGAGGCCACCCGGUCGAGGGCACGCCUGCCUGGGCGUCACGC
rnacentral:rRNA from 1 species